rnacentral:rRNA from 1 species
UGCCAGACUCCUACGGGAGGCAGCAGUGAGGAAUAUUGGUCAAUGGGCGGAAGCCUGAACCAGCCAAGUCGCGUGAGGGAUGACGGCCCUACGGGUUGUAAACCUCUUUUGCCGGGGAGCAAAGAGCGGGACGCGUCCCGCCUCGAGAGUACCCGGAGAAAAAGCAUCGGCUAACUCCGUGCCAGCAGCCGCGGUAAUACGGAGGAUGCGAGCGUUAAUCGGAAUUACUGGGCGUAAAGGGUGUGCAGGCGGCUGAGUAAGACAGAUGUGAAAUCCCCGGGCUUAACCUGGGAACCGCAUAUGUGACUGCUUGGCUAGAGUGCGUCAGAGGGAGGUGGAAUUCCACGUGUAGCAGUGAAAUGCGUAGAUAUGUGGAAGAACACCGAUGGCGAAGGCAGCCUCCUGGGACGCAACUGACGCUCAUACACGAAAGCGUGGGGAGCAAACAGGAUUAGAUACCCCCGUA